AACGAACGCUGGCGGCAUGCCUAACACAUGCAAGUCGAACGAGACCUUCGGGUCUAGUGGCGCACGGGUGCGUAACGCGUGGGAACCUGCCCUUAGGUUCGGAAUAACUCCCCGAAAGGGGUGCUAAUACCGGAUAAUGUCUUCGGACCAAAGAUUUAUCGCCUUUGGAUGGGCCCGCGUUGGAUUAGCUAGUUGGUAGGGUAAAAGCCUACCAAGGCGACGAUCCAUAGCUGGUCUGAGAGGAUGAUCAGCCACACUGGGACUGAGACACGGCCCAGACUCCUACGGGAAGCAGCAGUGGGGAAUAUUGGACAAUGGGCGAAAGCCUGAUACAGCAAUGCCGCGUGAGUGAUGAAGGCCUUAGGGUUGUAAAGCUCUUUUACCCGGGAUGAUAAUGACAGUACCGGGAGAAUAAGCUCCGGCUAACUCCGUG
rnacentral:rRNA from 1 species